rnacentral:lncRNA from 1 species
UUACGUUGAGAUGAUUGUCCGGGCUGCGCAGUCUUGGGAUGAAUCGCGUGACGCUGGGAGACUGAAACGGGUGAAGAUCCGGUGCGGAUGCAGGGAUCAGCUGGGUGGAUCACGGAGGAGGGCGUGGACUUCCUUCUUCGGGCCAUGCUGGGAUCAUGGAGAAGGGGGGUUGUCCGGGAUGCGGAAUGGAUGAUCACUGCGGACAGCUGGAUCACGGCUUGCAUCACGGGAAGCUUGGAUGCGGAAGAGGCUGAAACGCCGGGAUUAGAUGCAGUGAGAUGCUGGGAUUUUGGGAUCGCUGGAAAUCUGGGAGGAUGACGUGGAUCUGCCGUGGAGGAAGGCUUGGAGGUGUCAUGGACGGCGAGAUGAGGUGCUUCACGAGCGGCUGGGACGUUGAUCACGGACUUGGGGCCGCGGGAGGAAGAAGCUGGGGCUUGUGGAAGAAGCGGACUCGGAGGCUUGAAGCGUGGGAUGCUGGGAG